UCUUUGGUUUUUUUUUUUUUUGGUUUUUUUCAGCCCACCACCGCUAUCACCAUCGCCAUCGCUAUCGCCGUAUUGUCAUUAUCUGAAAUUCAAAUUUUGUGCUCCAAUUUUAAAUGCUUUUCAUGACCUUACUUUCUUGUUUGUGCUCCAAUAAUGGUAGCUUAUUUGUUGGGUUCUCUUAAUUUUUGUGUUGCUGAAACAUCGGUUGUGAGUUCGGACAGGUUAGAAAUAAAUUUGAAAGAAAAAGUUCGGUUUUCUCUAAUGCCCAAAACGUAUUUGUAAAAAUGACAAAGCAAACGAAUUUCCGAAACGUAUUUCCUAAUUGCUCAAGUUGGGAAGGUUUUCUGGAUAUGCAUUUCAAAUUUAUGGAUUACUCUUAGUUGCAAAUUUUAUUUCAGCAUAAUUCGUAGAAUUUUUUGCAUCUCUUUGGUUUCUGCAAAAAAGAAGCAUGAAAGUUGUACUUCGGUUGAAAUACUUCAGAACUCAUACAGAGUCUUUUCCUGUGGAGGAUUAAUGUUUUGGCAAUAAUCGCAGACUGAAGCUUGAAGGAACUAUGGAAAAGAAUGAGGCUUUGUUUUUGUUUCUUCAAUAACUCAUAAUUGAAGCCUAAGUGCUUAAUUUUGUAAAAUGCAUUGUGGCAUACUGGAUCUGAAUUGUCUAGUCAGUCUUUUAGUCUUUGAUCGGAUCUAGUCAUAAUUUGACACGAAUUAUUAUUAUGUAUUGAUUAGUUCAGGCAAAUUGAAAGCCAUACCAUUACUUGAGUAUCGAAGAUGAAGUAUUAAGGCUUGAGGACUAAGGAAGUGCUGUUGUUGUUCCUAAUCCAAAGAAAUACUAUGUGAUUAACUCUUUACUCUCUGUCAAAUUAAUCUCUGAUUUUUCAGCAUGACAGGCAUGGAUCUCACGUCUCAGUGGCGCAUACUCGCUUCAUACGGCCUCUAAUUGAUUAUUUAGUGUCAUUGAAUGUUAUGCAAUUAAGCAAUUACUACCAGUGGACAAGGUUUGAAUUAUUUGUGGCUUUCUUGUGACUGGCAACAAUGAGCCUUGGUUAGAGAAGGCUUUCUCGUCUUUCAGGUGCAUCAUUCACAUAUAAAUGAGUUGAAAAUCAACCAGUGCCAAAGUCUACUGACCAGAUUACUAUAUCUAAUGCAAUUAUUGUUCUUUUGUGUUUAAGGAGGAACUACGAGGUCUUCUUCCAUGUGCUUGUGUGGCAGGGUCAUCUUAGCUGUCUUGCUUCCACCAUGGGCUGGCAGUGAAUACCAAUAACAUCACUUUGCCUGAUGAUGGUGGGGGAGCAUUGAGUGGGAUUUAUUUGGGAUUAAGGGGCUCUUGCGAAAAUAUACUCAGUUAUGCUAUGGGAUUACUUGGGGGGACUAAUAUGGUCUAGCCCAAAUUGGUGCCGCCCAAUUCUAUGAUGUAACAUAAAGCCCCAUUUGUGGUACUUUGAACACAUGGAUAUAUUUCAGGUCCACCAUUUUUUUUUU